AAUGACCAAGUGUAUAUUUUUGAUUAUUUUUUAAGGUUUAUCCCGACAUAUAUAAGGACUCCCAGCCCAGACUGUUGUUAUUUUGGUCUCUAAUGAGCUACUAAUUAGGGGUGGGGGAUCAAUCAUCGGUGUAGCUGAAUCGAUGGUCUCCGAAAUCCGCUACUCUCUCCUAUGUGGAGUUUCGGGAAGAAAACAUUUCCUCUUUUAGGCAUCGUUCGUCAACAGUGAGAGGAAACAAUUAAAAACAAAGAGAAUGAUGUGUAUGAACUGAUUUGGAGAAACAAAAUGUUUUGAUUGGUAGUAAGAUUUUUUAUUUGUUUUUGACAUCAUGUGUUAAUUACACCAGACUAUCAUUUUAUAUUUAGAAAAAAUGAAACUUGGAUUGUUUUGUAAUUACUCGAGAAUUUAAUUGUACCCUUGUAAGUAUCUAUAUAUAAUAGCAAACCAAUAAUCUGUGUUAGGUGAUUUCAGCAUUUUUUUUAUAGAAAAAUAAAACUGAAAUUGUACGGUUGAGAUUGUCUAAUGGAUAAAAUUUAAGUUUUAUUUAGUGUCUUAUGUCAUCAAUAUGCAAACGGUCUCUUUCGUUUUCUUUCUUUGAAUCGUCACUUGAUUCACUUCUCAAAAGCCACAACUUUUCAGAACCGUCACUUGACUCGUUUCUUUUUGUGCUUAAAAUCAAUGACCAUUGUUCUUUUUCCAUUCAGUUUUUUAUCAUCUUUUCUUCAUAUUUCUCCGUAGUUCUUUUUCUUUAUGGAAUAUAUCAUUUUCCGUUUUCACCACCGUUAAACCUAAUUGAGGAUCUCUAAUACUGAUGCCUUUGACUGCCGGUUGUAAUACACGCGCACACAAACUUUCUCCCCUAACUCACUUUCUCGGUUUCAUCGAGUGUGGAGGCGCUGCAAUUUGUCCGGUGACCUAGACGGCGAUGGUAGCGUUCUCCCCCUCCCGGACAUCGUACAUCGUGACGGAAUAGCUAUUGUCGGCGGUGAUUUGAAGUGUAUCGGAAGGGCCUUGCUGCGAGAGCGACUUGCUCUGGUGACUCGUCGGGAAGACGACGUUUGGUCUCCGUUAGAGGACGGUGGGGGCACUGUCGGAAUCUCGCUUGUCAGUCAUAGCAUCCGUACAACAAACGACAUUGUAAGCCUGGAGCUGCCUUAAGACCUUUGUUUAAAAUUUGCAGA